rnacentral:rRNA from 1 species
GAUGAACGCUGGCGGCGUGCUCAACACAUGCAAGUCGAACGUGAGGGUGUAGCAAUAUGCCUGAAAGUGGCGAACGGGUGAGUAACACGUAGAUGACCUGCCCUGGAGUGGGGGAUAACCAUUGGAAACGGUGGCUAAUACCGCAUACAUCCAGAAGAUUGGGAAAUUUUCUGGGGAAAGCUCUGGUGCUCUGGGAGGGGUCUGCGUCCGAUUAGCUAGUUGGUGAGGUAAAGGCUCACCAAGGCGACGAUCGGUAGCUGGUCUGAGAGGACGAUCAGCCACACGGGGGCUGAGACACGGUCCCGACUCCUACGGGGGCAGCAGUGAGGAAUAUUGGGCAAUGGGCGAGAGCCUGACCCAGCAACGCCGCGUGGAGGAAGACGGCCUUCGGGUUGUAAACUCCUUUUGACAGGGAAGAGAGAGGACGGUACCUGUCGAAUAAGUCACGGCUAACUACGUGCCAGCCGCCGCAGUAAUAC